rnacentral:rRNA from 1 species
AUUGAACGCUGGCGGAAUGCUUUACACACGCAAGUCGAACGGUAGAGGGGGCAACCCCUUGAGAGUGGCGAACGGGUGAGUAAUAUAUCGGAACGUGCCCAGUCGUGGGGAUAACGUAGCGAAAGCUACGCUAAUACCGCAUACGAUCUAUGGAUGAAAGCGGGGGAUCGCAAGACCUCGCGCGAUUGGAGCGGCCGAUAUCAGAUUAGGUAGUUGGUGGGGUAAAGGCUCACCAAGCCAACGAUCUGUAGCUGGUCUGAGAGGACGACCAGCCACACUGGGACUGAGACACGGCCCAGACUCCUACGGAGGCAGCAGUGGGGAAUUUUGGACAAUGGGCGCAAGCCUGAUCCAGCAAUGCCGCGUGCAGGAUGAAGGCC